GAUUCCCACACCAGCUACACAGAUGGUCAGGCAGAGUGUCCCAGGAUCCGGAGAUGGUCAGCCCGGCAGGACCCGGGCCGCUCAGACCUUGUGGCUUUUUGCUGAGGCCGCAGAAUGAGGACAGCGGACGGAUGAGGACCUGGACUUUACCAGCGCACAGACAGAGCAAAAGGAGACAGGAGACUGACAGGACAGAAAAGAGCUUUUGCUUUUUCUACAUUUUGUUUUUGUUUUGUUUUUUCCUGAUAGUCCCACAAAGCUGAAGGUCGGCGGGUCGGGUGGAGCGGGUUUAUCUUGCUGCUUGGGCUGUCUCAGGUGGCAGUGGCUUCCCUCCGAGGCCACUCUCUGCUGCCACUGCUCGGCCCAGGCCAG
rnacentral:lncRNA from 1 species